rnacentral:rRNA from 1 species
AGGACGAACGCUGGCGGCGUGCUUAAAACAUGCAAGUCGAACGAGGUCCAGGGGUUCGCAAGAACCCGGAAGACCUAGUGGCGAACGGGUGCGUAACACGUGAGGAACCUGCCCCAGAGACCGGGAUAACCCCUCGAAAGAGGAGCUAAUACCGGAUGUGCUCAUCGGAUCACCUGGUCUGAUGAGGAAAUGGAUUCCGCUCUGGGAUGGCCUCGCGGCCUAUCAGCUUGUUGGUGGGGUAAUGGCCUACCAAGGCGACGACGGGUAGCUGGUCUGAGAGGACGAUCAGCCACACUGGGACUGAGACACGGCCCAGACUCCUACGGGAGGCAGCAGUUAGGAAUCUUGCGCAAUGGGCGAAAGCCUGACGCAGCAACGCCGCGUGGGGAUGAAUGCUCGUCGGUUAGUAACCCCUUUCAGCGAGGACGAUUAUGACGGUACCUGCAGAAGAAGGACCGCCAACUACGUGACCAGCGACGCCGCGGUAACUCGU